rnacentral:rRNA from 1 species
CACGUAGGGCGCGAGCGUUGUCCGGAAUUAUUGGGCGUAAAGAGCUCGUAGGCGGCCUGUUGCGUCCGCUGUGAAAGCCCGGGGCUUAACCCCGGGUCGGCAGUGGAUACGGGCAGGCUAGAGGUAGGUAGGGGAGAAUGGAAUUCCCGGUGUAGCGGUGAAAUGCGCAGAUAUCGGGAGGAACACCGGUGGCGAAGGCGGGUCUCUGGGCAACAACUGACGCUGAGGAGCGAAAGCGUGGGGAGCGAACAGG